CUGGUGUCAGCCGCCGCGGUAAUACCAGCACCCCGAGUGGUCGGGACGAUUAUUGGGCCUAAAGCAUCCGUAGCCGGCCUUACAAGUCCUCCGUUAAAUCCAGCUGCUUAACAGAUGGGCUGCGGAGGAUACUAUAAGACUAGGAGGCAGGAGAGGCAAGCGGUACUCAGUGGGUAGGGGUAAAAUCCGUUGAUCCAUUGAAGACCACCAGUGGCGAAGGCGGCUUGCCAGAAUGCGCUCGACGGUGAGGGAUGAAAGCUGGGGGAGCAAACCGGAUUAGAUACCCGGGAAGUCCCAGCUGUAAACGAUGCAGACUCGGUGAUGGACUAGCUUUAUGCUGGUCCAGUGCCGCAGGGAAGCCGUUAAGUCUGCCGCCUGGGUAGUACGGUCGCAAGACUGAAACUUAAAG
rnacentral:rRNA from 2 species